rnacentral:rRNA from 1 species
GACGAACGCUGGCGGCGUGCUUAACACAUGCAAGUCGAACGGUAAGGCCCCUCGGGGUACACGAGUGGCGAACGGGUGAGUAACACGUGGGUGAUCUGCCCUGCACUUCGGGAUAAGCCUGGGAUACUGGGUCUAAUACCGGAUAGGACUACUGCCUGCAUGGGUGGUGGUGGAAAGCUUUUGUGGUGUGGGAUGGGCCCGCGGCCUAUCAGCUUGUUGGUGGGGUGAUGGCCUACCAAGGCGACGACGGGUAGCCGGCCUGAGAGGGUGACCGGCCACACUGGGACUGAGAUACGGCCCAGACUCCUACGGGAGGCAGCAGUGGGGAAUAUUGCACAAUGGGCGCAAGCCUGAUGCAGCGACGCCGCGUGAGGGAUGACGGCCUUCGGGUUGUAAACCUCUUUCAGCACCGACGAAGCGCAAGUGACGGUAGGUGCAGAAGAAGGACCGGCCAACUACGUGCCAGCCGCCGCGGUAA